rnacentral:rRNA from 1 species
GUUGAACGCUGGCGGCGGGCCUAACACAUGCAAGUCGAGCGAGCGGCGGACGGGUGAGUAAUAUAUGGGGCUCUGCCUGAUGGAGGGGGAUAAAUACUGGAAACGGUAGCUAAUACCGCAUACCAUCAGAUGGACCCAUAUGGGAUUAGCUAGUAGGUGGGGUAACGGCGCACCGAGGCGACGAGUCCUAGCUGGGCUGAGAGGAUGAUCAGCCACACUGGGACUGAGACACGGCCCAGACUCCUACGGGUGGCAGCAGUGGGGAAUAGUGCACAAUGGGCGCAAGCCUGAUGCAGCCAUGCCGAGUGUAUGAAGAAGGCCUUCGGGUUGUAAAGUACUUUCAGUCGGGAGGCGUUACCGACAGAAGAAGCACCGGCUAACUCCGUGCCAGCAGCCGCGGUAAUAC